rnacentral:lncRNA from 1 species
UGUGCCAAGUGCAUUGGGAGCAAGGAGGUGGGACUGUCUAGGUCUGCUUGAGGGGAUGGAAGGGUCACAGAGACAAGGAAGACCUGGGACUUGAAGGGCCAUUAGCGCCAGGUGCCUCUGCACUUAUUUGUCUCCUCUGGCCAUGCACGUAUUGAUUAAAGAUAAG